GUCUACAGCUAUACCUCCCCGAGUGCAUCCAAUCUUAUCUGAUCUGGGAAGCUAAGCAGAGUCGGGCCUGGUUAGUACUUGGAAGGGGCAGGGUUUGAACCCUGGCAUGCCAUGUUGGCC
rnacentral:rRNA from 1 species